AUGAGACAGAACAUCCUAUUUCACGAACAUGUGUCUCAUGAAGCCAAGGUUUCACCCUGGGGGAUCAGGGUUCUUCAUCAGCGUCUCCACCACCUCAACCUCCAUGAGAGAUCAUCAAAACUAUCAUCUAUACGACCACUUGUGCCCUACCAGGUUAUAUUCCGAGCCAUUGCUUUGAUCCAUAUGUGGUCAUUGCUCACUCCAACGGAGGCCAGGGAGCGUUUGGUUACUGGAUCUAUCCGAUGGGAGAUGGUUGCACGGGAUAUCUUCAGCCGAUUUGGAUGGCGGUCAUGUAAUAGGAUAGGCAAUUAG
rnacentral:rRNA from 1 species